rnacentral:rRNA from 1 species
GUCCACGCCGUAAACGAUGAGAACUUGCUGUUGGGCGCUGAAUAAGUGCUUAGUAGCGUAGCUAACGCAUAAGUUCUCCGCCUGGGGAGUACGGCCGCAAGGUUAAACUCAAAGGAAUUGACGGGGCCCGCACAAGCGGUGGAGCAUGUGGUUUAAUUCGACGCAACGCGAAGAACCUUACCUACUUUUGAAUCCUAAGAAGUUUACAGAAAUGUAGAUGUGCCGCAAGGAACUUAGAGACAGGUGCUGCAUGGCUGUCGU